rnacentral:rRNA from 1 species
AUGAUUUUAAUUGGAGGGAAGAUGGGUGUUUUCAUCUGUGGCGUAGUAUAUACCUGGCGUUCAUCUUCAGGGCACAGCGUGGCUGGUUCUGGUGCCGGCGAGUUGACGCUCGAACGCCGUCCAGUUAUUAUAUAUCAAGGAGUUACGGCCGGGGAUCGCCGGCGGCGCACGUUCUCGCCUGUCUUGCUCAAGGACUGCAGAGAUGGAGAGUCUAUGUUGGGCUGCUCCUCCUCGUAUGAUAGGUGGUGCGGUGGUGGUCGCACAGCUGAGAUAUCCAUGGAGGAAGGGGCAAGAUCUCUGUUGGGUGGAUGCUUGAGCAUGUAUUGGAGGGAGAUGGGACUCCACCGUUCAUCCAUUCUACAGCGGAUGGAUAUUUAUUUAUGA